AAAUACAACUUUCAACAACGGAUCUCUUGGCUCUCGCAUCGAUGAAGAACGCAGCGAAAUGCGAUAAGUAAUGUGAAUUGCAGAAUUCAGUGAAUCAUCGAAUCUUUGAACGCACAUUGCGCCUUUUGGUAUUCCGAAAGGCAUGCCUGUUUGAGUGUCAUAAAAACUCUCA
rnacentral:rRNA from 1 species